rnacentral:lncRNA from 1 species
UGGUUGACCGGGAGGCUGAGCAGUCCUGCAAGGUCUUCCCUGACCUCAUCACCGCAGAGAAUUCAGGCUCCUGGGAGCAGCUGGGGCCGACCUGCAUAAUCUCCCCAGGGCGAGGCUUAAAGCGCGCCUCAGAUCUGCAGCACCCUUGGUCCGCAGUGCAGCCGGUUCAGGGGUGCCGGGGCUGAGGCCGUGGGCUGCAGAUUCCAGCACCUGGGCAGGGCCAGACUCCCACAGCAUUCGCUUGUCUUGCUGCAAUGUGGAACCAGUGGGC